UUUAAAUACAAAUUGUAAUGUUUUGUCUUAUAGUUAUAGCUUUAGCAGCUUUAGCAAAGAGAGAGCCAUUGGCAGCUAGCCAAGGCAUUCAUUGUCCAGCUGGAUUUCAAAAUGUCCAUGGGUCGUGUUAUUUGGUCAGCUUGACCCCUACAACGUGGAACGCAGCUAAGGUAAUUUGCCAAAGUCACAAUGCACAUUUAGCUGAUUUCUCUUCUCGUUAUGAAAUAGUACCUGUCAUGCUAGAUGCAGUGAUUCCGAAGUCAUCAAGUUUUAAAUAUAGGGAUCCGAAAGUUUGGAUUGAUGCCAUCUAUUCGCCAAGCCAAAAACACUGGAUUUGGUCUCACGACUCAUCGUUAGUUAAUUACCGUUAUUUUACCCAAUUGGCACAUAGUCCUGGAACAACAGAAAGAUGUGUUUUUGCUAUUGUUAAUACUGGCAUUAAUCCUUGGGCUCACGAAUUUGAUGUUGAUUGCGAUAAAAGUUACCUUCCGCUAUGUGAAGCGAGACCAAUCUAAUCAUGGCUUUUCAACAUUCUUAUAGCAAAAUUUUGUUUAUUAAAUUGUCGAAUUUUA